rnacentral:misc_RNA from 1 species
CACGACACGCAGCCGAAAGAUGCAGGGAACAGAGAGAGAAACAGAGAAGCCCGCGAGGAGGCAGCCAAGCCAUUACCCGGUGGAGGAGCCGAAGGCGGAGGCAGCCUCUUGUGCGCCUGGCGCUGCCGGGCGGCUUGGCGGCCGGCGGCCCCAGCGAUGAGACGCUGGCGGUCGAAGAUCUGGAGUAUGCCGGCCAUGCAGCCCAUCUGGCGCUGGAGGUCCCGCGCGUCGUCGGCCAGGCCGGCGGCGGCGCCGCGCACCCUCGCGGGCGGCAUCGUCUUCCGGUCCGGGCGUGUGCCUCUGCCUCGCUCCCCAAGCUGUCGUUGUCGGCCCCCGAUCACCAGGCACGGGACGGCGUGCGCUCUGCGGGACGAUCGCCGGCUCUCAUUCGGGGUCCGACGACGGCGACCGACGUGGCCAGGCCGGCGGCAGAGAAGCUUCCGAGGCGUCGUCGGUCAGUGAGUCACCCGGUCAGAGCUGAGGCCGAGCUAGGCGGCGUGCAGUGGCGAGGAGAAGGGGAAGCAGUCCUGCCUGCACGCGCACACGGCUGGUACUGCGGAUGUGUACUGGUAGAAGUAGAAGCCGGAGCAGAUGUGUGCUCGGUUUUGGAGUCGGGGGCGAGCUCUCAGAGGAAUGUUAUCAUUGCGGCGCCAUGGGCAUGCAGGCUGUCGUCGUGGGGAGGGAGGGAGGCCGGCGGGCUGGCUCUG